rnacentral:rRNA from 1 species
UACGAAGGGGGCUAGCGUUGCUCGGAAUCACUGGGCGUAAAGCGCACGUAGGCGGCUUUUUAAGUCAGGGGUGAAAUCCUGGAGCUCAACUCCAGAACUGCCUUUGAUACUGAGAGCUUGAGUCCGGGAGAGGUGAGUGGAACUGCGAAUGUAAAGGUGAAAUUCGUAGAUAUUCGCAAGAACACCAGUGGCGAAGGCGGCUCACUGGCCCGGUACUGACGCUGAGGUGCGAAAGCGUGGGGAGCAAACAGGG